AAAGAAGAGUCAGAGAAGAACAGUGCAUCGCUAACGUACUUUCUUACUAGUAUUGGAACAGGAAGUCUGGUACAAAGCUACUCUGGAGGAAAGGCAGCACCCAGAGCUGGGUCGCUGCCAAAUCGGGAGGCACAUGAUCUAUCAAGGUGGGAGCCUUGGAGUAGGGCCUGCUGCUGUAUGCGUGCCUACAAAGUGAGCAAAUCAGAGGAGCCACCGACAGACCUUAGCCGCGUAACAGUGCCUCCUAGGAGAUCGUCAUCCCCCUAA
rnacentral:lncRNA from 1 species